CUACGGGGUGCUCCAGUCGAGAAUAGUCUACAAUGGACGAAAGUCUGAUAGUGCAACGCCGCGUGGGUGAUGAAGCAUUUCGGUGUGUAAAACCCUUUUCUUUGUGAGCAAUGCCAUUAUGGUUAAUAGCUAUAGUGGAGCGAUAUUAGCAGAGGAAUAAGCCACGGCUAACUCCGUGCCAGCAGCCGCGGUAACACGGGGGUGGCGAGCGUUGUCCGGAAUCACUAGGCGUAAAGGGCAGGUAGGCGGAAUAUCUAGUCAUUUGUUAAAGGCAUUGGCUCAACCAAUGUACGGCAUAUGAUACUGGUAUUCUAGAAUUUGGUAUGGGAAGACGGAAUUCCUGGUGUAGCGGUGGAAUGCGCAGGUAUCAGGAAGAACACCGGAGGCGAAGGCGGUCUUCUGGGCCAAAAUUGACGCUCAACUGCGAAGGUGUGGGUAUCAAACAGGAUUAGAUACCCCGGUAGUC
rnacentral:rRNA from 1 species